rnacentral:rRNA from 1 species
GAUCAUGGCUCAGAUUGAACGCUGGCGGCAGGCCUAACACAUGCAAAUCGAACGGUAACAGAAAGAAGCUUGCUUCUUUGCUGACGAGUGGCGGACGGGUGAGUAAUGUCUGGGAAACUGCCUGAUGGAGGGGGAUAACUACUGGAAACGGUAGCUAAUACCGCAUAACGUCGCAAGACCAAAGAGGGGGGACCUUCGGGCCUCUUGCCAUCGGAUGUGCCCAGAUGGGAUUAGCUAGUAGGG